CAGUCGCCGCGGUAAUACAGAGGCCUCAAGCGUUGUUCGGAUUCAUUGGGCGUAAAGGGAGCGUAGGCGGUCGGGUAAGUCGGAUGUGAAAUCCUAGGGCUCAACCUCAGAACUGCAUUCGAUACUGCUUGGCUAGAGGACUGGAGAGGUGAGUGGAAUUCACGGUGUAGCAGUGAAAUGCGUAGAUAUCGUGAGGAAGACCAGCGGCGAAGGCGGCUCACUGGACAGUUUCUGACGCUGAUGCUCGAAGGCCAGGGGAGCAAACGGGAUUAGAUACCCCAGUAGUCCCUGUCUCUUAUAC
rnacentral:rRNA from 1 species